AAGUCGUGAGGCAGAAAGGAGGGAGAACUGCAGGGGCUUCCGACAGAGACCUGUGCCUUUGUCCCAGCUGUAUGGUGCUGGGACGCUUGGGGGCGCGUAGGAGUGGAGCGGCCCCGGUGCUGGGGCAGGAAAAACGAAAGAGCACAGCUGCUGAAAUCAGACCACUACAUUAAAAUCCUAGCUCGACCACUUACAAUCUGAAUGCUCUUCAGCAAGUUACUUCACUUCUCAGGACCUCAGUUUCCUCAUCUGUAACAAUAGUAUUUACCUCAGAGGAUGAUUAUGAAGAAUAAAUGAGUUAAUGUUUGCAAAGAGCUUAAAACAGCCCAGCUCACCAGCACUCUGGCCAGCAGCUUCCUGUUCACCAGCCUGGACCUGCCAGCUGUGGAGCAGCUCCGAUCUGUUGCACCUCAGAGGACUUUUCCAUCAUUCAGUGGGCUGCACCCUCUCUGACAGUGUCUGAGUCUCAGCCUGUGGGUGGACAAGGGGUAGUGCUUUUUCACGUUUUUUUGUUCUUGGAUUUUUUCUCUCAACUCUGGAAGUAGUACCUGCUCCCUGCAAUGCUGUUCCUGUGUUCUUCAGAGUUCUCCUUUAUCCUUUUAAUAAUCACCUUUAACUGGUUAAAGUUCUUUGUACUAAUUAUGUUCAGAUUUCUCUCUUCUGAUGGUACCCUAAUUGAUAUGCCUGAUAAAAGUAAGGGUGAAGAUCCCAGGUUGCAUUGGCUAUACAAAGAAAAAUAAAUGCCCCACCACACUGAACUUACAAUAAAAAAUUAUUAAGCCUCACGAGGAAACAACCCACCAUAAACAGAAAUCAACAAACAUAAUAAAUGAAAGGAGUAGAGCCCCCCAACCAGAGAGAAUAGAAUAAAAUUGGAAAGAGAAGAUAAAAUCAUUCUCUUAGAUUUUAGAUAAUUAGAAACCCAAAAGAAAAAUCAAAACACUAAGGAAAGGACAAGACACUAUGAAAAAAGAAGAGAUAGAUUAGGGAAAAUAACCAUAGAAGUAAAAAGAUAAAAAAUACAGGCACUGAAAAGCAAUUUAGUGGGUGAGUUGAAAACCAAACCAGACACAGAUAAAAAGAGACUAAAUGAACCAUAAAACAGAUUUGAGUAAAUGUCCCAAAAUUCUCUUGGACACAAAGAUUGAAAGUAUUUUUCAAAGUUUAAAAGGCCUGGAAGAUAAAAAUGUUUAAGACUUACAGCAGUGUUUAUGCUAUGGUACCUUCUGCAUAAGAAAGAAGAAAGUAAGGCUAUAUGUUCAUAUUUUAUUAUAUUUCCAUAAAAAACUGAAAGGGUACACACACAAAAAAUGAUGAAAAGUAGUACAUCUGUGUGAAUGUGGUUGUGGUGGGGAGAAACAGUAGAUGUGGCCAGGCUGGGAGUGAGACUAUAUUUUAUAUUGGUUAAUUUACCAACCAUGUGUGUUAGUCUAGGUCCUCUGAGAAGCAGAAGCCAAGAUGGGAUUGGACAUGUAAGAGACUGAUGGGGGCAAUACCUAUGAGUGUAAAGGGGGAGGGAGCCCCAGAAGGUGGAAGAGUCUUUAGAUCACAAUGCAGAUCUGACCCCCUGGCAAAGAAGCAGGGUUGCACAGGCAGAUUCUAAGACUGCAGGGGAGUUCUAAGAAAGGUUCAGCCAGGCAGACGAGGAAUCCUUAAGUGAAAGUAGCCUGUCAGAGGAUUCACAUGUCUUGCUGGAAUGGGCCUGCCUGAGUAUCCUUGCCGUGCUUAGUCACCGACUGAGAGCGGCCUGUGUGAAGUGUGGGCGGGCUUGUGUGGCCUGUAUGCUAACACAGUGAUAGAUUCAGAGUACAGCAGCUGAGGCCAUCUGUCAAUUACACUCCUUGUAGCAAGAGAUCUGAGUGGUAUAUUUUCAUAGCUGCCACACCAUGUGAUUAAAUUUUGUAUUCAAAGAAGGGCAAAAUUAAGACAUUUUCAAACAAAGACUGAAGAAGCUUAUCACUCACAGACUGUCACCCUAAGAACCACUAGAGGAUUCACUCUGGAAAGAAAUAUUUUGAAUCCUGAAGGACAGUGUAGGUAGGAUACAGGAAGAAAUGGUGAGCCAAUAAAUUGGUGAACAUGUCGGAAACAAAUUGGUAAAUAUGCAGAUAAAUAUAAAUAGACAUUGACUACUAAAAAAACAACAAAGAUGACAAUAAUGAUUAAUUUUGGUAUAUCAAAAACAAGGUGGGAUUAAAAUACUGGCAAUGACAUGUGAAAUUGGAAAGGUAAAUUGGAGGUAGAGUAUUUUAAAGUCAGGAUGUAAUCAAGUGAAGAUGAGGUCAUACUGGAUUAGAGUGGACCCUAAAUCCAGUGACUGGAUUGAUGAGUAAGAGAAAGGAAGGAGAGACUUAGAUAGAGAGACACACAGAGGGGAGAAGGCCAUGGGACCAUGAAGGCAGAGAUUGGAGUGGUGCACCUGUACACCUGUAGAUCAUAGUGCAGAUCUGAUCCCUGGCAAACAAGCAGGGUUUUGAAUCAAGAAUUGCUGGGAACCUCCAUAAGCUAGGAAGAGUCAAGGAAGGAUUCUUCUCUAUAGUCUUCAGAGAAAGUAGAGCCCUGCUGACACCUUGAUCUUGGAAGUCUAACCUUCAAAACUGAGAGAAUAAAUUUCUGUUGUUUAAGCUAACAAGAGCGUGGUGUUAAUUUGUUAUGGCAGCACUAGGUAACUAAUACGCUGCCACAUUAUUUUUCAGAGUGGCUGCACCAUUUUACAUGCCCCCUACCAGUAUAUGAGAGAUCUAGUUUCUCUCUAUAGGAGAUGUGAUAUCAUUUGCUAUCAUUAUUUAUAUUUUGUUUUAGCUGUUCUGAUAAGUUUGUAGUGAUAUCUCAUUGUGGUUUAAAUUUGUAUUUCCCUAAUGAAUAAUGAUAUUGAACAUCUUUUCAUGUACUUAUUGGCCACCCAUAUCUUUCCAUGGUGAAAUGUUUGUUCAUGACUUUUGCCCAUUUUAUGAUUGGAUUUUUUCUGUUAAGUUUUGAGAGUUCUUUACUGGAUA